rfam:Gossypium raimondii Chr01_contig_848, whole genome shotgun sequence.
AUUCUAUAAUGAGGGCACUUCUAUAAUAAUUCUUUGUACCUUUUCCAUGCCUCAUACUCAUCAUCCAUUUGUUAGAAAGUAGUGAUCUCGUUCCUAAACUU